rnacentral:misc_RNA from 1 species
UCUUUAGACAAGGAGUAUAAAUGGAAUUAAUUAUUUAUAUAAAAUAUUUAGUGAAGGGAAAGGAAAAAGGCUUACCCUUUUUCUUUUUGUUUGGGUUGGUCCUAAACAUAGUAGAGAGAGUAGUCUAGGUAGGUUUAGAAGCAGCUUGCUUGAAAGCAACAGUGGGAGCAAUUCUGCAGCUCCUCCUCUGAUGCUCAAGCACAAGUUCAUCAGCAAACCAAUCAAGUUUCUCAAAAUUGCUUUGCUCUCCAAUCC